UGGAUAACCUGCCCCUUUGUGGGGAAUACCGUUGGGAAACCGACGACAAUACCGCAUAAGCUCGAGAGAGGAAAGCAGCAAUGCGCAGAGGGAGGGGUCCGCGGCCGAUUAGCUAGUUGGUAGGGUAAUGGCCUACCAAGGCUGUGAUCGGUAGCCGGCCUGAGAGGGCACACGGCCACACUGGCACUGAAACACGGGCCAGACUCCUACGGGAGGCAGCAGUGGGGAAUCUUGCACAAUGGGGGAAACCCUGAUGCAGCGACGCCGCGUGAGCGAUGAAGCCCUUCGGGGUGUAAAGCUCUUUCGGCAGGGAAGAUUAUGACGGUACCUGCAGAAGCAGCUGCGGCUAACUACGUGCCAGCAGCCGCGGUAAUACGUAGGCAGCAAGCGUUGUUCGGAGUUACUGGGCGUAAAGGGUGCGUAGGCGGUUCUGUAAGUAUGGUGUGAAAUCUCCCGGCUUAACUGGGAGGGUGCGCUAUAAACUGCGGGACUAGAGUGUGGGAGAGGAAAGUGGAAUUCCUGGUGUAGCGGUGAAAUGCGUAGAUAUCAGGAGGAACACCGGUGGUGUAAACGGCUUUCUGGACCAUAACUGACGCUGAGGCACGAAAGCGUGGGUAGCAAACAGGAUUAGAUACCCUGGUAGUCCACGCCCUAAACGAUGCAUAUUUGGUGUGGGUCAUUCAGUUGAUCCGUGCCGGAGCUAACGCGUUAAAUAUGCCGCCUGGGGAGUACAGUCGCAAGGCUGAAGCUCAAAGGAAUUGACGGGGGCCCGCACAAGCGGUGGAGCAUGUGGUUUAAUUCGACGC
rnacentral:rRNA from 1 species